UACGGAGGGGGCAAGCGUUAUUCGGAAUUAUUGGGCGUAAAGGGCGCGUAGGCGGCUAGAUGUGUCAAAGGUGAAAUCCCUCGGCUCAACUGAGGAACUGCCUUUGAAACUGUCUGGCUUGAGGCCGGGAGAGGGUAGCGGAAUUCCCAGUGUAGCGGUGAAAUGCGUAGAUAUUGGGAGGAACAUCGGUGGCGAAGGCGACCAACUGGUUGGUGAUUGACGCUGAGGCGCGAAAGCGUGGGGAGCAAACAGG
rnacentral:rRNA from 1 species